UACGAAGGGGGCUAGCGUUGUUCGGAAUGACUGGGCGUAAAGCGCACGUAGGCGGCAAGUUUAGUCAGAGGUGAAAUCCCGGGGCUCAACCCCGGAACUGCCUUUGAUACUGGCUAGCUAGAGUCCGGAAGAGGGUGGCGGAAUACCCAGUGUAGAGGUGAAAUUCGUAGAUAUUGGGUAGAACACCAGUGGCGAAGGCGGCCACCUGGUCCGGUACUGACGCUGAGGUGCGAAAGCGUGGGGAGCAAACAGG
rnacentral:rRNA from 1 species